GGGCUUGUGGCGGAAUGGUAUACGCGUACGCUUGAGGUGCGUAUGUCGCAAGACGUGGAGGUUCAAGUCCUCUCAAGCCCA
rnacentral:tRNA from 1 species